UCGUUUUGGUGGCACAUAUACUUAAAAUUGGAACAAUGUAGAGAAGAUUAGCAUGGCCCAUGUACAAGGAUGGCAUGCAUAGAACAUAUAAAACUUGUU
rnacentral:snRNA from 1 species